UACGGAGGAUGCAAGCGUUAUCCGGAUUUAUUGGGCGUAAAGCGUCCGCAGGUGGCAGUUCAAGUCUGCUGUCAAAGACCGGGGCUUAACUUCGGAAAGGCAGUGGAAACUGAACAGCUAGAGUAUGGUAGGGGCAGAGGGAAUUCCUGGUGUAGCGGUGAAAUGCGUAGAGAUCAGGAAGAACAUCGGUGGCGAAGGCGCUCUGCUGGACCAUAACUGACACUCAGGGACGAAAGCUAGGGGAGCGAAUGGG
rnacentral:rRNA from 1 species